AGAGUGCCGGAAUUUUUUCCGCUUCACACAUUUAAGAUCACGUGACCAUUUGAGUGUUUAUCAACAGCCAACAUUAUUUUUGGAGGGAAAGUCGUACCGAGAAGAUGGAAGGACUGGUGUUCCCUGAUAGGAAAGUAAGUUUGUUGAUUUUUACGAAUUGUGUCGAUUAAAUUCUUAAUUUAUUUUCCAGCUACCGGCCUGUGUUGUGUACCUGCUUAUUUUUACAGCCAGAUCUACAGUACUUGGAAGUUGCCAGGUUCUUCUAAUUGUAAAAUUAUAAUAAUAUAUUCCCUUUGAAUAGAAGAGGUUGGAGGGUCCUGGUCCUACAUUGAAAUUAUAGUGGAUACACGAGGAUGUGGAUGGUUGUGCAAGAUUUGCAAAGUGUGUGUUGGAAUGAGGCAUGAUGGAGAAAUUGGACCAUGGAGUUGCACCAAAUAUGAUGAUGGAUGUGAUCUUUCAGACCAUGGAGUUGCACCAAAUAUGAUGAUGGAUGUGAUCUUUCAGACCAUGGAGUUGCACCAAAUAUGAUGAUGGAUGUGAUCUUUCAGACCAUGGAGUUGCACCAAAUAUGAUGAUGGCUGUGUAUGUGUUGGAAUGAGGCAUGAUGGAGCAAUUGGACCAUGGAGUUGCACCAAAUGUGAUGAUGGAUGUGAUUGUUCAGACCAUGGAGUUGCAUCAAAUGUGAUGAUGGAUGUGAUCUUUCAGACCAUGGAGUUGCACCAAAUGUGAUGAUGAAUGUGCUCUUGCAGACCAUGGAGUUGCAUCAAAUGUGAUGAUGGAUGUGAUCUUUCAGAUCAUGGAGUUGCACCAAAUAUGAUGAAUGAUGUGAUCUUUCAGACCGAGGAGUUGCACCAAAUAUGAUGAUGACUGUGUAUGUGUUGGAAUGAGGCAUGAU